ACGAACGCUGGCAGCGUGCUUAACACAUGCAAGUCGCACGGAAAGGCCCUGCUUUUGUGGGGUGCUCGAGUGGCGAACGGGUGAGUAACACGUGAGUAACCUGCCCUUGACUUUGGGAUAACUUCAGGAAACUGGGGCUAAUACCGGAUAGGAGCUCCUGCUGCAUGGUGGGGGUUGGAAAGUUUCGGCGGUUGGGGAUGGACUCGCGGCUUAUCAGCUUGUUGGUGGGGUAGUGGCUUACCAAGGCUUUGACGGGUAGCCGGCCUGAGAGGGUGACCGGCCACAUUGGGACUGAGAUACGGCCCAGACUCCUACGGGAGGCAGCAGUGGGGAAUAUUGCACAAUGGGCGGAAGCCUGAUGCAGCAACGCCGCGUGCGGGAUGACGGCCUUCGGGUUGUAAACCGCUUUCGCCUGUGACGAAGCGUGAGUGACGGUAAUGGGUAAAGAAGCACCGGCUAACUACGUG
rnacentral:rRNA from 1 species